CUGAGCCGCGUCCUCGCGCCGCAGGCGCUGCCGGCGCCCGGCUUGGCCGCGCCGCUCUCCUCGCCGCCGGCCCACUCCUCGUCCUGCAGCGGCGGCCGUCCAUCCAGCGAGAUGUUGACUGAGGAUGCAGCCCCUGAUUUAAAUGCAUACCCGAGGGUGCAUAAGAACCCAGGCGCGAACAUCAAACGUGUGGCCAGACUAAUUGAUACAUCUCCAUUUGAUGGUGCUGUCAGUUUUCAUCUCUUUCUUAGCAAAGGCCAACAUAAAUUUUUACUUCGGCCCAGAAACGUGCUCCGUUUUCCAUGAAGACCAAGGAAGAAGAGAAUGAUGUCUCCUUCAUCUCAACCUAUAAGGCUCGCUUCAAAUGAUACUUUCUCCACAGACCCUCCCUGACUUCCACUGUGUGAACACUGAGUUUUUCCCCAUCUCACAAGGGCUCAUGCCUGCCCUGUUGUCCUGGCUCCGGCAACAGUGGGAGAGACUCAGCAGCCUGGGAUCCAGAAGUGACCUGCUGGCUAUGUUGGUGACGCUGGACAAACAGCUGGGCCAUAGACCACAUACUUGAGGAAUGUUUUCCCAGCCUGGCCAGGGGAGGCUGCGCACUGUCCCGGUUUGUUCAUCUGCUUUCUGCAGCCAGUGUAGAAGAAGCAGGUCCAGCUUUUUCUUUUCCAGGGGCCGUUGUCACAAAUCGAUGAUAUGUACCUCCCAUUCAAAGUUCUUCACAUAUUGUUAUGCUAUAUAAAAAUCACAUUCUAUUUGUCAUUUAUGUUUUUUAGAAUCAAAGUGUGUUCACUAUGCAAAGAUGAGUUGACAACAUAUUCUCUAAACAUAGCUGAAGAAUGUUAAGAAACCGGAAUAGGAUUUUAGAGAGAAGCACACUUGCUUUCAAUGAGUAAAACUCCAUGUGCUUGGGGUAUGAAUAAGCCUGAACAUCAUAAUUCAUUUUAAUAUUUGUCUUUGAUCUGCUUUUUGCAUAAUGAUCAAUCAACAGACAUUUGAGUGACUACUUGAAGAACCUUUGAUGUAGAAAAUGCUAGGCUAGAAUCAUGUUCUCGU